GUGUCAGCAGCCGCGGUAAUACGGAGGGUGCAAGCGUUAAUCGGAAUUACUGGGCGUAAAGCGCGCGUAGGUGGCUUGAUAAGCCGGUUGUGAAAGCCCCGGGCUCAACCUGGGAACGGCAUCCGGAACUGUCAGGCUAGAGUGCAGGAGAGGAAGGUAGAAUUCCCGGUGUAGCGGUGAAAUGCGUAGAGAUCGGGAGGAAUACCAGUGGCGAAGGCGGCCUUCUGGACUGACACUGACACUGAGGUGCGAAAGCGUGGGUAGCAAACAGGAUUAGAAACCCUCGUAGUCC
rnacentral:rRNA from 1 species